UGGGGAAUAUUGGACAAUGGGCGAAAGCCUGAUCCAGCCAUGCCGCGUGUGUGAAGAAGGUCUUCGGAUUGUAAAGCACUUUAAGUUGGGAGGAAGGGCAGUAAGCGAAUACCUUGCUGUUUUGACGUUACCGACAGAAUAAGCACCGGCUAACUCUGUGCCAGCAGCCGCGGUAAUACAGAGGGUGCAAGCGUUAAUCGGAAUUACUGGGCGUAAAGCGCGCGUAGGUGGUUCGUUAAGUUGAAUGUGAAAGCCCCGGGCUCAACCUGGGAACUGCAUCCAAAACUGGCGAGCUAGAGUAGGGCAGAGGGUGGUGGAAAUUCCUGUGUAGCGGUGAAAUGCGUAGAUAUAGGAAGGAACACCAGUGGCGAAGGCGACCACCUGGGCUCAUACUGACACUGAGGUGCGAAAGCGUGGGGAGCAAACAGGA
rnacentral:rRNA from 1 species